UACGAAGGGGGCUAGCGUUGUUCGGAAUCACUGGGCGUAAAGGGCGCGUAGGCGGCUUUAUAAGUCGGGGGUGAAAGCCUGUGGCUCAACCACAGAAUUGCCUUCGAUACUGUAGAGCUUGAGACCGGAAGAGGUAAGUGGAACUGCGAGUGUAGAGGUGAAAUUCGUAGAUAUUCGCAAGAACACCAGUGGCGAAGGCGGCUUACUGGUCCGGUUCUGACGCUGAGGCGCGAAAGCGUGGGUAGCAAACAGGA
rnacentral:rRNA from 1 species